rnacentral:rRNA from 1 species
UAAUACGGGGGGGGCAAGCGUUGUUCGGAAUUACUGGGCGUAAAGGGCUCGUAGGCGGCCAGCCAAGUCGGACGUGAAAUCCCUCGGCUUAACCGGGGAACUGCGUCCGAUACUGGUUAGCUUGAAGCCGGGAGAGGGAUGCGGAAUUCCAGGUGUAGCGGUGAAAUGCGUAGAUAUCUGGAGGAACACCGGUGGCGAAGGCGGCAUCCUGGACCGGUCUUGACGCUGAGGAGCGAAAGCUAGGGGAGCAAACGGGAUUGGAUACCCCGGUAGUCCUAGCCCUAAACGAUGAAUGCUUGGUGUGGCGGGUAUCGAUCCCUGCCGUGCCGGAGCCAACGCGUUAAGCAUUCCGCCUGGGGAGUACGGUCGCAAGGCUG